AUUGGAUGUGAUAUAGUGACAGUGUCUAUAUGGGUAGUAGAUCUCAGUAGGUUGAUGUGUGUUAUAUUGGAUGUGAUAUAGUGACAGUGUCUAUAUGGGUAGUAAAUCUCAGUAGGUUGAUGUGUGUUAUAUUGGAUGUGAUAUAGUGACAGUGUCUAUAUGGGUAGUAGAUCUCAGUAGGUUGAUGUGUGUUAUAUUGGAUGUGAUAUAGUGACAGUGUCUAUAUGGGUAGUAAAUCUGAGUAGGUUGAUGUGUGUUAUAUUGGAUGUGAUAUAGAGAGAGUGUCUAUAUGGGUAGUAAAUCUGAGUAGGUUGAUGUGUGUUAUAUUGGAUGUGAUAUAGUGACAGUGUCUAUAUGGGUAGUAAAUCUCAGUAGGUUGAUGUGUGUUAUAUUGGAUGUGAUAUAGUGACAGUGUCUAUAUGGGUAGUAAAUCUCAGUAGGUUGAUGUGUGUUAUAUUGGAUGUGAUAUAGUGAGAGUGUCUAUAUGGGUAGUAGAUCUCAGUAGGUUGAUGUGUGUUAUAUUGGAUGUGAUAUAGUGAGAGUGUCUAUAUGGGUAGUAAAUCUCAGUAGGUUGAUGUGUGUUAUAUUGGAUGUGAUAUAGUGAGAGUGUCUAUAUGGGUAGUAGAUCUCAGUAGGUUGAUGUGUGUUAUAUUGGAUGUGAUAUAGAGAGAGUGUCUAUAUGGGUAGUAGAUCUGAGUAGGUUGAUGUGUGUUAUAUUGGAUGUGAUAUAGAGAGAGUGUCUAUAUGGGUAGUAGAUCUCAGUAGGUUGAUGUGUGUUAUAUUGGAUGUGAUAUAGUGACAGUGUCUAUAUGGGUAGUAGAUCUCAGUAGGUUGAUGUGUGUUAUAUUGGAUGUGAUAUAGUGACAGUGUCUAUAUGGGUAGUAGAUCUCAGUAGGUUGAUGUGUGUUAUAUUGGAUGUG